CCUUGAAAAACUUCUGCUGCCACAGAACAUCUGGAUUCUUACAGAGGAAGCUUCUCAAAGGGCAUGUAGUUAAUGUGGAAGAAACCUGGAGUCCCAUCUCCACGGCGACAGAAGCCCUAUUCAAGGAUCAGAAGUACUCUGAAAUACACAUAAAAACGAGGGACACCACCCUUUCUUGCUUAUUGGAGAGCAGCGUGAUGAAAAAUGAAUGCCACCAAUUAUUACACAACAACCCAUAUCAACUAUGGCAUCUUGGGCAGUCACAUCCUGUAUGCUCAUAGGAUCUGCAUCACAGAGUUGCACUUCCUGCACUCUCAAGUGCAGGAACCCUAAGGUGGCAUUUUUCGCAGAGAGAACAACUGUGAUAAAAGUCCAUCUGUGACCUAAGAGAAGCACCGAGAACAGCAAGGAGGUAGGAACAUCAAAACCUGUACUUGUCCAAUUUUGAGACACAGAGGCUGAAACUGUGACAGUGGUCACCAUGCAGCAGGUGACCAGCUCAGUUCUCAGGUCAUCAAGAAAAUGAAGACAUUGCAGCCAGGUUCCUAACUUUGGCCUAAGUAUGAGUCACGCUUCCUACUGCAAUAUCGAAGAACAGACAAAAAACCCAAUCAGAAUAUUAGA
rnacentral:lncRNA from 1 species